rnacentral:rRNA from 1 species
UACGAAGGGGGCGAGCGUUGUUCGGAAUUACUGGGCGUAAAGGGCGCGCAGGCGGCUCUGAAAGUCAGAUGUGAAAGCCCCGGGCUUAACCUGGGAACUGCAUUUGAUACUCUAGAGCUUGAGUACGGGAGAGGAGAGUGGAAUUCCCAGUGUAGAGGUGAAAUUCGUAGAUAUUGGGAAGAACACCGGUGGCGAAGGCGGCUCUCUGGACCGUAACUGACGCUGAGGCGCGAAAGCGUGGGGAGCAAACAGG